rnacentral:rRNA from 1 species
UACAGAGGUCCCAAGCGUUGUUCGGAUUUACUGGGCGUAAAGGGUGCGUAGGCGGUUGGGAAAGUCUGAUGUGAAAUCCCCGGGCCCAACCCGGGAACGGCAUCGGAAACUGCCUGACUAGAGGGAUGGAGGGGGGACUGGAAUUCCCGGUGUAGCAGUGAAAUGCGUAGAUAUCGGGAGGAACGCCAGUGGCGAAGGCGAGUCCCUGGACAUUACCUGACGCUGAGGCACGAAAGCUAGGGGAGCAAACAGG